rnacentral:lncRNA from 1 species
AACUUGCAAAAAGAACUUUUGAGGUUUGUUAUUUUCGACAUUUAAUGUCCAAUCCAGAUUUGACUUUUAUUGAGAGACGUCAAUUGGAUCUCGGAUCCCUUCUCCGAACGUCAAUUUUGACGUCGGACCCCUCUUCAACCGAUCGUUCCUUUUGUUUCUUUUUUAAAUUAAUUUGUUUUUACAAUAUUACCACAUUUGAAAUACAGAAUAUCAUUAUAGCACAUCUUAAAAAUAUAUAUAUUAUGAGUUUCAAGCAAUGGAAAUUGGACACUCGCUCUCGCCUCCAAGAUUCAUCAACUCACGAACAAAACUGCAUCAUAAGCCAAAAUUAAGCCGUGCAAACGAAAUUUAAUCGAUGCAAACGGAAUUUAAUGCUUGCAAACUAAAGUUAAUCGGUGCAAAAUAAAUUAAUGGGAAGAAAAUUAAUCAAACAUACCUUGUAGCAGCAAUAACGAAUGUGAACGAAGCAAAAACCAAAAUGAAAACGCGAAAGAAAGUGAGGCUCGCAUUAUGAGUUUUUGGGGUUUAAAAGGGCAUUUGACGUUGGCCCCCUCCAGAUUCGGCGUCUAAUUGCUAAAAAUAUUCAUUUUGGGUGCUACUUUUGGGGUAUUUUCGCAGCUUAUUGGCGUUUGGGGAAAGGGAUUUGAUAUCUAAUACACAUUAGACGUCGGUCCCUUCUACGUUCGACGUCUAAUGUCUGAAAAAGUGACCUUUAAAUUUUGAUUUUGCAGUCUCUGUCAGAGGAUUUGACAUCUGAUCUAUGGGGGGCCGACAUUUAUUUUUGGAUUUUUU